UACGUAGGGGGCAAGCGUUGCCCGGAAUCAUUGGGCGUAAAGAGCGUGUAGGCGGUUCAGUAAGUCUGCUGGGAAAGUCCGGGGCUCAACCCUGGGAUGCCGGUGGAUACUGCUGGGCUAGAGUACGGAAGAGGCGAGUGGAAUUCCCGGUGUAGCGGUGAAAUGCGCAGAUAUCGGGAGGAACACCUAUUGCGAAGGCAGCUCGCUGGGACGUUACUGACGCUGAGGAGCGAAAGCGUGGGGAGCGAACAGG
rnacentral:rRNA from 1 species